GCGGGUGUGGUGGAAUGGCAGACACAAGGGACUUAAAAUCCCUCGGUAGCGAUACCGUGUCGGUUCGAGUCCGACCACCCGCACCA
rnacentral:tRNA from 1 species